rnacentral:rRNA from 1 species
GAUGAACGCUGGCGGCGUGCCUAAUACAUGCAAGUCGAGCGAACAGACGAGGAGCUUGCUCCUCUGACGUUAGCGGCGGACGGGUGAGUAACACGUGGAUAACCUACCUAUAAGACUGGGAUAACUUCGGGAAACCGGAGCUAAUACCGGAUAAUAUAUUGAACCGCAUGGUUCAAUAGUGAAAGACGGUUUUGCUGUCACUUAUAGAUGGAUCCGCGCCGCAUUAGCUAGUUGGUAAGGUAACGGCUUACCAAGGCGACGAUGCGUAGCCGACCUGAGAGGGUGAUCGGCCACACUGGAACUGAGCCACGUUCCAGACUCCUACGGGAGGCAGCAGUAGGGAAUCUUCCGCAAUGGGCGAAAGCCUGACGGAGCAACGCCGCGUGAGUGAUGAAGGUCUUCGGAUCUUAAAACUCUGUUAUUAGGGAAGAACAAAUGUGUAAGUAACUAUGCACGUCUUGACGGUACCUAAUCAGAAAGCCACGGCUAACUACGUG